AGGAGGGUGGCAUAGUGGUUAGCACGUUUGCCUCGCAUCUCAGCGGUUGGGGGCUCGAAUCCCGCCUCUGCUC